UUCACUCUGUGAUGGCAAGGCAAGAGAUAUUGAUGUAUUUUCAAUGUUACCAACAUUUACAUUUAUUUAUAACAGAUAUCAUUUUUGAUUGUUACCUCUAACUGCAAAUUUGGAUGCACAAUAUGGUACCAAAUUGGAUAAUCCAACCAUACCAGCCAUUGAUGAAAUUGCAACAAUAUGACCAUGAUUUUUCUCUAUCAUACUCGGCAAAAAAGCUUGCAAUACC